ensembl:snoRNA SNORD24 Small nucleolar RNA SNORD24
UGCAAGUGAUGUAAACGAAUAUUUGCUAUCUGAUGAUAAUGCUGACGCAUUUCCACCAAGAUCGCUGAUGCA